CUUGAAAAUUAUGUUAUAAGUGAACAUAGCUGUUGGCUGUUUACUCUAAAGCUUUUGCUGUUUGGCCUGGGCUGCGAAAUGAUCGCAAUCUGAGUAUUGGCACGCAUGCGUUAAUUGUUGGCAUGGGUCUCCCCAAAUGCGGCAAAUGCAACAAAAGCCAAAGCAAGAGCUACAGCUAGAGCUAGAGCAAGAGCAAGACAACAUCCUGCGCGUGCCCCCAAAACAUAUAAUAUAUCAAAUCUAACACUGUACUCGAUAUCGCGACCGGCUGAUUGCGUUGCCUAUAAAUCACUCGGAAUCGGAACCGUCUAAGCGAGUAGAUGUAUGUGUGUGUGUAGACUUUUGGGACUAAGUGUGAGUCUGGUAUUUUGUCGAUUGCAAUCAUCCGAGCAGACAGCACGCACGCGCGUAAAGCAAAGAAGCUGAGGAGGGAAAAUGAGGCUGAGGAAAUGAGGACUAUGCGCAACAAUGUGUUUUGCGCAGAGCGAUAGAGAUACGAACCCCGAACUCGCAGCUCACAGAUCGCAGCUCGCAACCCGAACCCGACGAUGCCUAUUCGAAUAUGUGCAAUUUGACAAUUAAUCAACUGCAACAACAACAACAACAAAGAGAACAACAACAACAAUUGAACAAUCGAUCCACAAUCGAGCAUUAGUCAGCAAUCAAAAAGGCAAUGAAAAGCCUCUGCACAAAUGUUCAGAGUUUGGAGUCAAGUUUUGAGGUCAAACGAGCUCGAGUUCAGAACUGGAAAAUAGGAGGAAAAAAAAUCUAUCUACAUAUCUAUCGAUUGUAUUGGCCAAUGGAUUCGGUCGUGCUAAGUGACAUGUGACAUAUUGUCAACGCAAUGCCUGGCGAUCAUUUGCAUAAAUUCCAAUUGUUGCCAGCAUACACAGAGAGAGACACGCAGCAAUGCUCAACAAUUGUGUUGACAAACAUUGUUGCUACACACGAAUCUGAGUAGACAACAACAACAAUUACAAUUACAAGAACAACAGCAAAACUGAAACAACUCCAAUAACAACAACCUUAUGUCGAGUGACAAAAAUGUUGCUGCUACAAAAUGGCUAAUUGGUAUUGGUUAGCAAUCAGCGGAGUUCGCUGCGAUCUGCGUUGUUACUGUUACUGCUGUUGUUGUUGUCAUUUAGUUAUUGCUGCCAGCUGCCAGAUAGAAAGAGAAGGUAAAUUGCAUACGAGUAUGAAAUGUCCACCCGGGUUACUCACCU